UUGGCACGUGCAGAGGGGUGAAGCUGGAGUUGUGCAGCAGAAUCGCAGCUGCAGGUUCCUCAAGGGGUGCUGUGGGGCAUUUGUUGCUGACCAGGCACAAAGCUCUGAGAAAUGGCGUUAAUGUUUAUCUGCUGCUAUUCGUGGACUGAAGGUUCAGGGUUGGCCUACUGAGAUGUCUUUUGUCACAGAUUAUUCUGUGUGAGGGAAAAAGCUCAGUUCUGGUCAUAGAAGUUAGCGUUAUGGGAGAUUAAUUAGUGCAAUAAUUCGGGAGGCCAUUUAUGUGAGUCUGAGUCUUGCUCAAAUUCUUUGUUCCUUUGCAUAAAGAGCGUACUCUUAGUAGGACAGUGUUGCUUCAGCCAUUGUCUGCCUCUGAAAGCCUUGGUUUGAAGACAUCUUGAUGUUUUAAACUAAAUUCUCAUUAGAAUGUCUCUGUUUUACAGACAUUUUGGAAUGGCCUCACCCAAAAUGUUCUCAGAGCAGCAUCCAGCAGGAAAUACGCGGAAGCCUUGAGAAUUGAUGUUCCGUGCUGCUCCCCCACCAGCAGUGCCCAUAAAACAUGGAUUGCUAAGAUUUGUUUGACUAAAACCGACCAAACAAAAAGUAAAACAAAAACCAAAUUAAAACCCUGAUGGAGCAAAUUGUUUUACAGUGCCAUGAAAUGGGUGAUGCCUAGGUCCAUUCCCCUGCAGAUAAAGUUCAUUUCAAACAUGCAUUUGAAUCACUCCUUUUCCCUGUUGCAGGAUUGUGGUGGUGCAUAUUUCUGGGAGUUACUUUGUUUCUCUGUGACGUGUUUUUCCCUUCCUCUCCCAGUCCCUGAAACUUUAUCCCAUUGGUUGGUGUUGUAUGUCCCCCCGCCCCUCUCCCGAGGUUUGAAGGAGUCCGGGAAGGAGAAACCCGGUCUCUUCUCCCCUGGAAGCUAGCCAGAGUAAACAUCCUCUGAUACCCCGGAGGGAGAAGCAGCACUUUUUGGUCUUUUCUUGGUCUCGAAGGAUCUCCCUGAUGCCUCCAUUCGACAGAGCUAGCGUGGAUUACUUCGGGGGGCUAAGGGAAGUUCGCUUCAGGUGGCGACCAACGUAGGGGCUUUGAAUCCCCCCGGGACGGCUGGAAAACACCCCACGGGUGUUUUAACAAGCCUAGGUACCGUCACUUACCCUGCAGUCUUUACUGACGGGGGUCGAGUUGGUAGCUCCGUGAGUACAUGAGUCAACUCGGACUGAGAACCUCUUUUUUUGUUUUCUGUUUUCUUCGAACACCGCGCAUCCUUCAGGAAACAGGUACUGGGUGGGGCGCGGGGGGUGCGGGAGAUCCGGCGGUUGUUGUCGGGUUUUGCGAGUCACAGUGCUGGUAGUGCCGGUGCCAGAGCCUCUCCCCGGUAUCUGGACCGAGGGAGCCCACGUGGCUGCACACGUGGUGUGUGUGGGGGCGGUGCCGGCGGCGCGUCCUGGGCUCCGCGGUGGUUUUUAAACCCUGACCGCAGUUUGGAUCUUUUCUGCUUUUCUCGGUGGUAAAAAAAAAAAAAGGUUAGACCAGUCUGUGUAUCAAAGCCUUAAGAUUGGCCAUAGGUUCCUUUUUGUCUACACAGGAAAGGAAUAAAUAUUCCCAUAUUAAGAAUAUUUUAAAGGCUGGAAAUAUCAAUUUCUCAAAAAAUAAGCUGAGGAAAUUAGUAAAAUGGUUUUUUUGCA